rnacentral:tRNA from 2 species
GCAGGGGUGGUCGAGCGGUCAAAGGCACUGGGCUCAAAACCCAGCGGGUUAGUCCCUUCGCGGGUUCGAUUCCCGUCCCCUGCA